rnacentral:rRNA from 1 species
AUUCAUACCACUCUGAAUGUGCCUGAUCUCAUUUGAUCUUGGCAGCUAGGCAGGGUCAAGCUUGGUUAGUACUUGGGUGGGAAAUAAACUAAAUAAAUAAAUCCAAGUAAUAAUAAGU